rnacentral:rRNA from 1 species
ACACCCGUUCCCAUACCGAACACGGUAGUUAAGCUCUCUACCGCCGAUGGUA